rnacentral:tRNA from 1 species
GCCUGGGUGGCUCACUCGGUUGAGCGUCCGACUUCAGCUCGGGUCAUGAUCUCGUGGUCUGUGGGUUCGAGCCCCGCAUUGGACU